AUACGGGGGGUGCAAGCGUUAAUCGGAAUUACUGGGCGUAAAGCGCACGUAGGCGGCUUGAUAAGUCGGAUGUGAAAUCCCCGGGCUCAACCUGGGAACUGCAUUCGAUACUGUCAGGCUAGAGUAUGGUAGAGGUAAGUGGAAUUCCCGGUGUAGCGGUGAAAUGCGUAGAUAUCGGGAGGAACAUCAGUGGCGAAGGCGGCUACCUGGACUAAAACUGACACUGAGGUGCGAAAGCUAGGGGAGCGAACGGGAUUAGAAACCCCAGUAGUCC
rnacentral:rRNA from 1 species